rnacentral:rRNA from 1 species
UACAGAGGGGACAAGCGUUGUUCGGAAUUACUGGGCGUAAAGGGCGCGUAGGCGGCCUUCUAAGUCGAACGUGAAAUCCCUGGGCUCAACCCAGGAACUGCGUCCGAUACUGGGAGGCUUGAAUCCGGGAGAGGGAUGCGGAAUUCCAGGUGUAGCGGUGAAAUGCGUAGAUAUCUGGAGGAACACCGGUGGCGAAGGCGGCAUCCUGGACCGGCACUGACGCUGAGGCGCGAAAGCCAGGGGAGCAAACGGG